CCUACGGGAGGCAGCAGUGGGGAAUAUUGCACAAUGGGGGAAACCCUGAUGCAGCGACGCCGCGUGAGUGAAGAAGUAUUUCGGUAUGUAAAGCUCUAUCAGCCGGGAAGAAAAUGACGGUACCUGAUUAAGAAGUCCCGGCUAAAUACGUGCCAGCCGCCGCGGUAAUACGUAGGGGGCAAGCGUUAUCCGGAUUUACUGGGUGUAGAGGGAGCGUAGACGGCAGCACAAGUCUGGAGUGAAAUGCCGGGGCUUAACCCCGGAAGUGCUUUGGAAACUGUGCAGCUAGAGUGCAGGAGAGGUAAGUGGAAUUCCUAGUGUAGCGGUGAAAUGCUUAGAUAUUAGGAGGAACACCAGUGGCGAAGGCGGCUUACUGGACUGUAACUGACGUUGAGGCUCGAAAGCGUGGGGAGCAAACAGGAUUAGAUACCCUUGUAGUC
rnacentral:rRNA from 1 species